CAGACAACGAAACCAGGAAGCAUCAUGUUGCUUUCUGUACUACCCUUCGAACCGAACCCCAACACGCAGAGCUUUCGCAAGCCUCGUAUAACCAGUUCGUCAUUCUUUUGGCCGCUGAGAAGCAGCCUUCUGGGAUCAAGAAUAUCUCUCAGAGGCCGCAGGUGAUAAAAUCAUUAGGAAUGUGUUUUUGGUUCUUCAUCGACAGGAUUGAAGCCCUGGCAACUUUGAACAAGGAAAGGCGAUUAACGGUCGAUUAAUUGGAUUCAGGGAUCGGACAAAGGGUAACUAUUAACUAUCUAGUCCCGAUAUGAUAUAGGGUCAAAUCUGAUCAGGCUCACAGCUUAUCCAUUUCAUUUCUGAGAACUAAAUAACUAACUGCCAACUACCUUUUUAGUAAUUAUCUAGGAUAACUAACUAUUAGAUAUCGACUCAACGUGGUGUUCAGUGAUUUUGAGGUAUUAUUCAGAUAAAUAUAUAAUUCCGACAGGGCCAGCCCUGGUUAGCUUAUUUAGACAC
rnacentral:sRNA from 1 species